GGCUNUGUACCCUAAAUAGAGUCCGCUGCCUGUGCAAUAGGUUUAACGGCCGCGGUAUUUUAACCGUGCAAAGGUAGCGCAAUCACUUGUCUUUUAAAUAAAGACCCGUAUGAGUGGCAUAACGAGGGCUUAACUGUCUCCUCUUUCAAGUCAAUGAAACUGAUCUUUCCGUGCAGAAGCGGAAAUUUAAACAUAAGACGAGAAGACCCUAUGGAGCUUUAGACACUAUGAUAGCUUAUGUUAAUACCCCUAAAAUAAAGGAGGAAGAAACUAAAUUGGCUCUACCCUAAUGUCUUUGGUUGGGGCGACCACGGGGAAUUAAAUAACCCCCAUGCGGAACGGGAGAACCCCUCCUACAACUAAGAGUUACAACUCUAAUAAACAAAAAUUCUGACCAACAAGAUCCGGCAAUGCCGAUCAACGGACCAAGUUACCCUAGGGAUAACAGCGCAAUCCUCUUUUAGAGCCCAUAUCGACAAGAGGGUUUACGACCUCGAUGUUGGAUCACGACAUCCUAAUGGUGCAGCCGCUAUUAAGGGUUCGUUUGUUCAACGAUUAAAGUCCU
rnacentral:rRNA from 1 species